AUUGAACGCUGGCGGCAUGCCUUACACAUGCAAGUCGAACGGCAGCACGGGAGCAAUCCUGGUGGCGAGUGGCGAACGGGUGAGUAAUAUAUCGGAACGUGCCCAGUCGUGGGGGAUAACGCAGCGAAAGCUGUGCUAAUACCGCAUGAGAUCUAUGGAUGAAAGCGGGGGAUCGCAAGACCUCGCGCGAUUGGAGCGGCCGAUAUCAGAUUAGGUAGUUGGUGGGGUAAAGGCUCACCAAGCCGACGAUCUGUAGCUGGUCUGAGAGGACGACCAGCCACACUGGAACUGAGACACGGUCCAGACUCCUACGGGAGGCAGCAGUGGGGAAUUUUGGACAAUGGGCGCAAGCCUGAUCCAGCAAUGCCGCGUGCAGGAUGAAGGCCUUCGGGUUGUAAACUGCUUUUGUACGGAACGAAAAGGCUCUGGUUAAUACCUGGGGCACAUGACGGUACCGUAAGAAUAAGCACCGGCUAACUACGUGCCAGCCGCCGCCGUAAUAC
rnacentral:rRNA from 1 species